CAGUCGCCACGGGAAAACGGAGGGGGCUAGCGUUGUUCGGAAUUACUGGGCGUAAAGCGCACGUAGGCGGCUUUACAAGUCGGAGGUGAAAGCCUGGAGCUCAACUCCAGAAUUGCCUUUGAGACUGUAUCGCUUGAACACGGGAGAGGUGAGUGGAAUUCCGAGUGUAGAGGUGAAAUUCGUAGAUAUUCGGAAGAACACCAGUGACGAAGGCGGCUCACUGGACCGUUACUGACGCUGAGGUGCGAAAGCGUGGGGAUCAAACAGGAUUAGAUACCCCCGUAGUCCCUGUCUCUUAUAC
rnacentral:rRNA from 1 species